UACGGAGGGUGCUAGCGUUGUUCGGAAUUACUGGGCGUAAAGCGCGUGUAGGCGGGAAGAGAAGUCGGGUGUGAAAGCCCUGGGCUUAACCCAGGAAGUGCGCCCGAAACCAUCUUUCUUGAGGUCCGGAGGGGAUCGGGGAAUUCCCAGUGUAGAGGUGAAAUUCGUAGAUAUUGGGAAGAACACCGGUGGCGAAAGCGCCGAUCUGGACGGACUCUGACGCUAAGACGCGAAAGCGUGGGUAGCAAACAGG
rnacentral:misc_RNA from 1 species